GCCCCGGGAAACUGGGAGUAAUACCGUAUACGCCCUUUGGGGGAAAGAUUUAUCGGAGAAGGAUCGGCCCGCGUUGGAUUAGGUAGUUGGUGGGGUAAUGGCCCACCAAGCCGACGAUCCAUAGCUGGUUUGGGAGGAUGAUCAGCCACACUGGGACUGAGACACGGCCCAGACUCCUACGGGAGGCAGCAGUGGGGAAUCUUAGACAAUGGGGGCAACCCUGAUCUAGCCAUGCCGCGUGAGUGAUGAAGGCCUUAGGGUUGUAAAGCUCUUUCAGCUGGGAAGAUAAUGACGGUACCAGCAGAAGAAGCCCCGGCUAACUCCGUGCCAGCAGCCGCGGUAAUACGGAGGGGGCUAGCGUUGUUCGGAAUUACUGGGCGUAAAGCGCACGUAGGCGGACUGGAAAGUCAGAGGUGAAAUCCCAGGGCUCAACCUUGGAACUGCCUUUGAAACUAUCAGUCUGGAGUUCGAGAGAGGUGAGUGGAAUUCCGAGUGUAGAGG
rnacentral:rRNA from 1 species